rnacentral:rRNA from 1 species
GACAGAGGGGGCAAGCGUUGCUCGGAAUUACUGGGCGUAAAGGGCGCGUAGGCGGGAUGGUAAGUCGGUCGUGAAAUCCCUCGGCUCAACCGAGGAACGUCGAUCGAUACUGCUGUUCUUGAGGAUUGCAGAGGAGACUGGAAUUCCCGGUGUAGCGGUGAAAUGUGUAGAGAUCGGGAGGAACACCGGUGGCGAAGGCGGGUCUCUGGGCAAUUCCUGACGCUGAGGCGCGAAAGCGUGGGGAGCAAACGGG